rnacentral:rRNA from 1 species
GUUGACCUCGGAUCAGGUGGGGAUACCCGCUGAACUUAAGCAUAUCAAUAAGCGGA